rnacentral:lncRNA from 1 species
CUAUCAUAAAUGGAAUUGUUCUCUUAAUUUUUUUCAGUUAGAUUGUUAUUUGUGUAUAAGGAUGCUACUGAUUUUUAUGUUGAUUUUGUGUCCUGAAAUUUUAUUGAAUUUGUUUAUUAAUUUUAAUAGUCUUGAUGGUGAAAUAUUUGGGAGUUUUACAUACAGAAUAAUGUUAUUUGCAAAUGAUUUUCCUUCUUCCUUUCUGAUUUCAAGUCUUUUAUUUCUUUUUCUUGUCUUAUUGCUCUAGCUAGUAUUACUGUGUUGAAUGGAAGUGGUGAGAGUAGGUAAGCAUGCUUACCUUAUACUAGAAUUUAGUGGAAAAACUUUCAUUAUUUCCCUGUUGAUUAUAGUGUUACUUGUGGGUUUUUCAUAAAUAUCUCUUAUGUUGGGGAACUUCCUUCUGUAUGUAAGGAAGUUUUUGAGAGUUUUUAUUAAGAAAGCAUGUUGGACUUUAUGAUAUGUUUUCCAUGUCAAUUGCUAUGUUUGUAUGGUUUUUAUCUUUCAUUAUGUUAAUGUGUAUCACACUGAUUGAUUUGGGUAUGUUAAACCAUUCUCGUAUGUAAAGGAUAAAACUAAGUUUGUCAUCAUAUAUAAUCUUUUUUAUGUGUUGUUGGAUUUAGCUUGCUAAUAUUUCAUUUAGAAUUUUUGCCUCAAUGUUUGUUGGAGCAAUUGGCUGGUAGUUUUCUUUUCCUUCCUUUUUUUUUGGGGGGGGGGCUUGUUUGUUUGAUGUCUUUGUCUGGCUUAGUUAUUAGAAUGAUACUGGCCUCAUAAAAUAUACUUGGAACUAUUCUCUCCAGCUGCAAUGUUUAAAAAGUAUUGGCAUUAAUUUUUCUUUGAAUGUUUGCUCAAGUUUACUGGUGAAGCCAUCUGGUCCUGGGACUGUCUUUGUAGGGAGAUUUUUAAUUUAUUAUUCGAUCUCCUUUUUUUGUUGUUUUUUUGUCUGCUCAUACAUUCUAUUUUUUCCUGAAUCAAUCAGUUAGAUUGUAUUUUUCUAGAAUUUCAUUUCAUUUCCUUAUAUCUAAUUUGUUGACAAAUAAUUAUUCAUAAUAGUUUCUUACAAUCCUUUUUAGUUGUGAGGC